rnacentral:rRNA from 1 species
GAAUCCCACAGGCCGUAAACCCAAGGUUUCCAGGGGAAGGUUCGUCCGCCCUGGGUUAGUCGGGACCUAAGCUGAGGCCGAAAGGCGUAGGUGAUGGACAACAGGUUGAUAUUCCUGUACUACCGAUAACCGUUUGAGAGAAGGGAUGACACAGUAGGAUAAGCUAAGCACACUGUUGGUUAUGUGUGCCCAAGCAUUGAGGCAGUCAAAGUAGGCAAAUCCGCUUUGAUAAUGCUGGGAUGUGAUGGGGAGCGAAAUUUAGUAGCGAAGUAGCUGAUUUCACACUGUCAAGAAAAGUCUCUAUCGAGGUUAAAGGUACCCGUACCGCAAACCGACACAGGUGGGUGAGGAGAGUAUCCUAAGGCCAGCGAGAGAACUGUUGUUAAGGAACUCGGCAAAAUGACCCCGUAACUUAGGGAUAAGGGGUGCCACCAUCAGGUGGCCGCAGAGAAUAGGCCCAAGCGACUGUUUACCAAAAACAUAGGUUUCUGCUAAGUCGCAAGACGAUGUAUAGGAGCUGACGCCUGCCCGGUGCUGGAAGGUUAAGGGGAUCUGUUAGAGCAAUCGAAGCAGUGAACUUAAGCCCCAGUAAACGGCGGCCGUAACUAUAACGGUCCUAAGGUAGCGAAAUUCCUUGUCGGGUAAGUUCCGACCCGCACGAAAGGCGUAACGAUUUGGGCACUGUCUCAACAACAGACUCGGUGAAAUUGUAAUUCCGGUGAAGAUGCCGGAUACCUGCGACAGGACGGAAAGACCCCAUGGAGCUUUACUGUAGCUUGACAUUGGGUCUUGGUACUACAUGUACAGGAUAGGUGGGAGGCUUUGAAACCAGGACGCCAGUUUUGGCGGAGCCAUCCUUGGGAUACCACCCUUGUAGUACUGGGACUCUAACCAUAGGCCAUGAAUCUGGUCUUGGGACACUGUCAGGUGGGCAGUUUGACUGGGGCGGUCGCCUCCCAAAAGGUAACGGAGGCGCUCAAAGGUUCUCUCAGUACGGUCGGAAAUCGUACGUAGAGUGUAAAGGCAAAAGAGAGCUUGAUUGCAAGACAUACAGGUCGAGCAAGGAUGAAAAUCGGACUUAGUGAUCCGGUGGUUCUGCGUGGAAGGGCCAUCGCUCAACGGAUAAAAGCUACCCUGGGGAUAACAGGCUUAUCUCCCCCAAGAGUCCACAUCGACGGGGAGGUUUGGCACCUCGAUGUCGGCUCAUCACAUCCUGGGGCUGUAGUAGGUCCCAAGGGUUGGGCUGUUCGCCCAUUAAAGUGGUACGCGAGCUGGGUUCAGAACGUCGUGAGACAGUUCGGUCCCUAUCCGUCGCAGGCGUAGGAAAUUUGAGAAGACCUGUCCUUAGUACGAGAGGACCGGGAUGGACG